rnacentral:rRNA from 1 species
CGAGCGCAGGAACCGUCUGAACCCUUCGGGGGGACGACGGCGGAAUGAGCGGCGGACGGGUGAGUAACACGUAAAGAACCUGCCCAUAGGUCUGGGAUAACCACGAGAAAUCGGGGCUAAUACCGGAUGUGUCAUCGGACCGCAUGGUCCGCUGAUGAAAGGCGCUCCGGCGUCGCCCAUGGAUGGCUUUGCGGUGCAUUAUCUAGUUGGUGGGGUAACGGCCCACCAAGGCGACAAUGCAUAGCCGACCUGAGAGGGUGAUCGGCCACACUGGGACUGAGACACGGCCCACACUCCUACGGGAGGCAGCAGUAGGGAAUCUUCCACAAUGGACGAAAGUCUGAUGGAGCAACGCCGCGUGAACGAUGAAAGCUUUCGGGUCGUAAAGUUCUGUUGUAAGGGAAGAACAAGUGCCGCACGCAAUGGCGGCACCUUGACGGUACCUUGCGAGAAAGCCACGGCUAACUACGUGCCACAGCCGCGGUAAUACAUAUGUGGCAAGCGUUGUCCCGGAAUUAUUGGGCGUAAAGCGCGCGCAGGCGGCUCUUAAGUCUGAUGUGAAAGCCCCCGGCUCAACCCGGGGGAGGGCCAUUGGAAACUGGGAGCCUUGAGUAU